UUGUCCUCCAGCCACUGGCAACGCGCACGCGUGCAUAUCCUCGGCGGCGCACUCACUCACUACCAUGAAGGAGCCGCGCACGCGUUCAUCAUAGAAAUGCCGAAACACUCGCGAAGAGAGCUGUCACCGCCGCUGCCAAAGACGGGGAUGAUAGGCGCCGCGGUGGAGUGCCUCCAUGCCGUCCUGCAUGAGGUCACCCUGCAGCAGCAGGCGCUGCAGGCCGCCAUCAGCAUGCAAGUGAAGGAUAGCUGCGCGGCGGGCAGCACGCGCAUGUACACAUUUCUGGAGACCUCCCGCCACUAUCUUCGAUAUGUCAUCAUCUUUUACGUGCUGCUCAUGGCAGCCCUUGUGGUGUUGGUUGCGGACCUCUCUGGCUGCCUUGUCACGUCGGUAGCCACUGCUGCAGGCAUCCGUCACCUCGUCCUCGCGAAUGUGCCUGGCACCGCCGUCAUUCCACUCCACUUCAACGCGCUGCCAUUCCACGAAGACGACUGGAUGCGGCACUUGCCAGAGGACACGGCACUCAGGGAUUUCAUUCUCCCCGACCGAGAGACACGCGAGCUCAUCCAGUCCAGGACGCAGCGCGUCGACUCUCUCAGCCUCCUGCAUCAGCACAUGGGGCAGUUUGCAGAUGCAAAGUUCUCGCUGCUGAGCCACUUCGUUAACAGUCACCUGGCCUCCACCACCAUGCACAUCCCUCGCACCGCCGCCUCGGCAGAGGUCUUCUCUCCGAGAGGAGGCGUCAAUCUCGAGAGUCUCUUCCAGUUAGGGCCCGCCAUGUUCAACGCGAAGGGCGAGUACACGGCUAAGGUGCAGGUGGUGCUGGCGAAAGAGGAGGUGGGCCGGGUCGUAUCACUCAUCCUGGAGUCCGCCAUGCUCUUCUCCGAGGACGCCAUGGCCGUGCAGUCCGUUGCCCAGCUCGACGUUCUCUUCACGAAAAGUACCUCCGUCACGGUGCGCACCGGACCGCUAAACCGGUCGUGGUUCGUGCUACUGCUGGAGAAGGUGCUGCGAUUUUGGUUCUGCCUGCCGGUGUGGUCGUACGAGUACCUAGUAAGUGCGCUGCGCCAGCAGGAUAGCGCGCCGUUUCCGCCCAUCGACUCAUCCCGCGAGGUGGCGGUUGUGCUGGAGGUCUACCACCGCUUCACGCCUCCUCUUGACCUGCAGCCCCGCUUGCGCGCCAUGAACUUCACGCUUUACCAGCUCCCUGACGUCGGCGCACCCUCACGCGUUAAAGUGUCGCGGCUCAUCUUUUUCUCCACCGUGCAGCUCACGGGAGUGGCGCGGUGGCUGACCGACUACCCCGUCUCCACGUUUCUGCUACUUGUCGCCAUCCUCUUUGCUGCGUUCGCAGUGGUAAGCGUCGGCAGUCUACUCGGGCUCCUCGCCUACGCUUAUUGGCGCUGGUUCCGCGAGCAGCCGCUGGAAUCGUUCGACGAGGAUGACUCGGGCGCCGAGUUCUUUGCAUCGCCGCGCGAUAUGCCUGCCACGGCGGUAAAGAACAUGGCGCCUCCAAGUUUGCGCCGACACCGCAGCAGCAACGAAUUUUACGAUAGCCUCGACACCUCUCAGCUGCGCCGCUCCCAAUCGUUCAACUACUCCCCAGUGAAGAAGGAAGAGUAGCAUCGACAUCGUUUGGCCGAGGGACUGGCGUCUGUGAAGGAGGCAGCGGGCCGUGCGUGGAGAAGUAUGCGCCGCCGACAGUGAUCCUCGCCGCUCUAUGCUCUGAUGUUUGUUUUGGUAAGGGGAGCUGCUGCUCCUGCGCUUUCUUUCCUGUGUCUCGCAUACACAUACAC
rnacentral:misc_RNA from 1 species